rnacentral:rRNA from 1 species
GACGAACGCUGGCGGCGUGCUUAACACAUGCAAGUCGAACGGUGAAGCGCCUUCCUUUUUGGUGGGUGUGGAUGAGUGGCGAACGGGUGAGUAACACGUGAGUAACCUGCCCCCUUCUUCUGGAUAACCGCAUGAAAGUGUGGCUAAUACGGGAUAUUCUGGGUCUGUCGCAUGAUGGGUCUGGGAAAGAUAUUGUUUCGGUGGGGGAUGGGCUCGCGGCCUAUCAGCUUGUUGGUGGGGUGAUGGCCUACCAAGGCGGUGACGGGUAGCCGGCCUGAGAGGGUGGGCGGCCACACAGGGGCUGAGACGCGGCGCAGACUCCUGCGGGAAGCAGCAGUGGGGAAUAUUGCACAGUGGGCGCAAGGCUGAUGCAGCGACGCCGCGUGAGGGAUGGAGGCCGUCGGGUUGUGAACCUCUUUCGCCAGUGAAGCAGGCCUGCCUCGUUUGUGGGUGGGUUGACGGUAGCUGGAUAAGAAGCGCCGGCUAACUACGUG